UCUUAAAAUUUAAAAAAUCAAUGUUCUCGGUGUCUUAUAAAUAUAAUAAAGCCAAUACAAAAUAACAAGAUCCACUUUUGCCCUAAUGGUACCUUUUAUUAUCACCAAACGCCACAACUUUAAUUUAAAUUUGAUUAUAACUAAAAUUGAUUGUCCACAUCCUGAGCAACCCGUCACCGCAGUGAGACCCAAAACCAGUGGCCACAUGGAAAACUAACCAGCGUACACAACAUAUGCAGCCGGGGGAGAAAAAUACGUAAAUUUUGGCACAGCACACCCAAAGAUAAGCCGCAGACCGCCCCAAAGACCCAGAUCCCAAAACCAUUCUGAAAGGUCCUGGGCGGGGUUAUUUAUAUGCGCAUAUCAUUUGACCUUGACGAAAAGCUAGCCGAACAUCUGAAACUGGAGCCUUCGACUCGCCGAAUCGUAAAGACCACCAAAUGUCGCCAGGGGAGCGGAGAAUGGGGGGAAGUUGUCUAAUUAAACACUCCACAUAAGAAAUAAAUUUGGGUCACAUCGUUAAAUAAAUAUAAGUGGGUCGGCAGGACGUCUGACGGCCAGCGCUUUCCAUUUCACAAUUUACAUAAAAU